UUUAAAAUUAUUUCCAUGACAUUAGUCAAUUUGUUAAAAUCUGUUUUAUGAACUGAAUUUGAAAUUGGAUUUUAGCUUGUUUUAAAAACAGCAUUUCAUGUUUAUUAUUUGAUUUAUAUUCUUGUAGUUCAAUUUAAGUUUGUUCUCCAUGUCUCAUCUAAGCUUAAUGUUACUUUUAUGGCAAAUAUACUUAAGGUUUAUUUAUAUCUUUUGAUUGAAGGUGUAAAAGAGAAAGAAAGCCAUAGAGAAACUAGAUGAGAAGAAGAGAACCGGUUAGAUCAUGGAAGCUAUGGUACGGAAAGGGAAGAAGCAAGGCUAAUGGUGGCUUGACUAAACAAAGGAAGAUCAAUCCAUGGUGGUGACUGAAAGGAGGAGUUCCUUAAGCGAGUACACACACGUAGGAUUAGAGUCUCAACAAGAAGUCAAAGCAAGAAGCCUAAGCAAACCCGCAUACAAACCAUGACCAUAGCUACAUCAUUCAACCAUGAAGGCUAUACUCUUUUUCCCUUAGCAAAGUUUUAUCCCAAGUGGUUUUCUUUGCUAAGGUUUUUAACGAGGUAGUCCUUUAUGUGUUGCAAGCUUGGUCUUUGGUCCCCAACGUCCAAGCUUGAGGGGGAGUAUUGAGAGGAAGAAGCUAAUGGGAAAGCUCAAGUCCGAAGUCUAGAAGACUAGGGCGAGUUCAUGUGGUUCAAGGAGUGAUACUUGAUCAUGCUCAUUUACGUCCAAGCUUAACCUCCAUCCCUUCCGGUCAAGCUUGAGGGGGAGUAUUGAAAUAAAUGAGCACAAGUCAAGAAGGUACUGAACUCGAUGGGAAGAAGUGAUGAAAGAAGCUAGAUCAUACAUCCGGUGGUUUGAUCAUAAGUGCAUUCAACGCAUGUCGUACGGACUUUGUGAUCAAAGUAAAUGGGUUAUCAUGGAUAUAAGAAGAAGCUUAAGAGUGUGAAGGCUGAAGGCAAGUAGUACAAAUGAAGACAUGAGCUAUCGUCCAUGAGUUGUUGUGAUUAACAACAAGGGACCGAUCGAUCUAUAUACUAGAACGAUCGGUCCGAAGGAACUCCAUCCAUGAUCGACCAUACGACC
rnacentral:lncRNA from 1 species